rnacentral:sRNA from 1 species
GGGCUUGGCGUACCUCCGAGAGAAGCACCAGAUCAUGCACCGAGAUGUGAAGCCCUCCAACAUCCUCGUGAACUCUAGAGGGGAGAUCAAGCUGUGUGACUUCGGGGUGAGCGGCCAGCUCAUCGACUCCAUGGCCAACUCCUUCGUGGGCACGCGCUCCUACAUGGCUCCGCCUCCUAAGCUGCCCAACGGUGUGUUCACCCCCGACUUCCAGGAGUUUGUCAAUAAAUGCCUCAUCAAGAACCCAGCGGAGCGGGCGGACCUGAAGAUGCUCACAAACCACACCUUCAUCAAGCGGUCCGAGGUGGAAGAAGUGGAUUUUGCUGGCUGGUUGUGUAAAACCCUGCGGCUGAACCAGCCCGGCACACCCACGCGCACCGCCGUGUGACAGUGGCCGGGCUCCCUGCGUCCCGCUGGUGACCUGCCCACCGUCCCUGUCCAUGCCCCGCCCUUCCAGCUGAGGACAGGCUGGCGCCUCCACCCACCCUCCUGCCUCACCCCUGCGGAGAGCACCGUGGCGGGGCGACAGCGCAUGCAGGAACGGGGGUCUCC